GUCCAGGGGUGGGAAUCGAACCCACAACGUUCCGCUUACCGGGCAGAUGCCAUGUCCACUAGGCUACCCUGGA
rnacentral:tRNA from 1 species